GUUUUUGUAGUUGAAUACAACGGUGGUUUUUCAGACCAUAGGUCUUGGUUUAAUCCAGGCAAGAAUU
rnacentral:tRNA from 1 species